rnacentral:lncRNA from 1 species
AAAUGACUUAGACAUCUACUUUCAGAAGAGGGUCCAUGGCUGUUAAUCCUGAGUGGAAUAGAUGCCUCCUUCAAACUAGAGGUAAGAGUUUCUUUUAAGGAGGCUGCCCAAAAGGAGAGAGUUUUUUUCAUAAGAGUUGUGACCCCGUGUCCAAAGAGAUGACUCAACUUUGCCAUAAAGUCACCGAAGAGUCUGUGAUAGAGGUAGAAAAGAAAAAAAGAUCUCACGGCUGUGAGACCUCUCUUCACUGGAAUACACGACUAACAACCCAGCUCCCUGAAGACAAAGUCCACUGA